AGAGGAGAAAGCUCUUGAAUGUUCAGUCACUUGGGGAAGAAAAUUGAAGGUAAGUUCAUGGUAGUUUGCUUCUAUCUUGAUGUUCAUGAGUUCUUCUUGAUUCUACCUUAACUCUUGAAGCAUAUUUUGGUUUUUAGUUGUGUUGUGAGCAUUUAGUCAUGAAUUAAAAUGAAGGAAAUGGUUGUUGUUUCUUGUUCUUUUGAUGAAAAAUGGAAGAUAGGUGAAGUUGAGCCAAACAAAUGAGCAUGCAUGUGCCUUAGAUGCUAAAGGGGAAAAUCGGCUAACAUGUUGUGCUUUAAAAUGAUGAAAUGGAGAUUAUACUUAAGUAAAAUCAUAGAUAUGUGAUGAUUGAUUGGUGAUAUACAUGUUUAAAUAACAUGCAUGCAAGGUAUGUGUGAAAGAGUGAUUUGGUAAUAAAUCUGCUUGGGACAGCAGCAGUAACGUGACUUUGGAAAAUCACCAUAAAUUGUGGGAGAUGAAUUAGAAGCUGAAUAAAUUAUGUAAUUAAAUCUUAUUGAGUCUAGUUUCAAAUGAAAUAAACAAGAACAUAUUUUGAACUCUGUACAAUGAGAAAUUUGAUUCGUAAUGAAGAGUGGUCAGAUUAUUCAAACAGUGAAACAUGGGAAACUUUGAGAAAAAUAUGGUAUCGAUUGGCUAAACCAAAAAUUCUGAAAAUUUUAUGGAUAGAAGAUAUAUGAGUCUAUUUUCAGGGAAAAUUAACGGAACUUGAUUUGGAGUUUCGUAGCUCCAGUUAUAAAUGAUUUAGUGACUAUUGCUCAGGAAGACAGCUUGCAGUGAAAUUAUGAUUAUGUGGUAAACAUUGACAAAAAUUUGUUAAUGAGUUGCUUAUUGAUUUCUUAUAAGCUUACUAUGAUCUGUAGGUAUGGUUGGCCGAAUAUUGUAAGGGGUUAAUACGUAGUUCGUAUUUGAAUAGUUAGAUUAACGUGUUAGUAAUCCAAUUGUAGGCAGUUCGUGUGUGGAUCUCGUCAGCAUAUCGUCGCAAACAGGUGUGUAACUAGCACCCUUUUAUAGACUAGAUCGGCACAAGCCGAAAAGCCGAAAUGCCGAAAAGCCAGUAUUUUGAUAUCUUGCGAGUGUGUGAAUGCUCAUGAGAUUAAUAGUUUGAUGUAUAUGGUAAAUUAAAGUGAUAAGACUGCAAAGUGCGCGAUUCAUUGCAUUUCGAUAUUUUUGGGCCUAAUGGGCCAAAAACAGGAUAAUGGGCCAACGGGCCCAAAUUGGUAAGAAAACUCGGUAAGUGUUUCUGAUCGUACGUAAAUGGCUAUGUUAUGUAUGAAAACCUUAAGAAUAGUUAAAUUACUUGAAUACCCCUAUGUAUGCAAAAUUACUAUUACACCCCUAGGGUUACUUUUGACUGAAAAGCAUGACGAUCUGAUUCUGUAUGAUGUAUGCCAUGAUUAUAUAUCUGUUGCAUGGGGACUUGGGUUAUACUAUGAAGGAAGCAUCCUGGUGGCUCUGCCACAAUUAUCUGAUCUGGUGGCUCUGCCACAUAUAUCUGUAUCUGGUGACUCCGUCACAAUAUCUAGCAGCCUCGCUGCGAUUUCUGUGGUGUGUAGCAGUUGGGUGGGUCGAGUAGUCUCCCCACAUGGUGUAAGGCUGGUACGGAGGUGUUAUGGAUGAAUCUGGGUUGGGUGUCUGCAUAAACAUGUAAUAUCUGUUCUGUUCUGUUCUGUUAUGGGCCUAUGGGCUUUAUUCUGAAUUUCUGUUCUGGGCUAAGGCCAACUUAUUCUGUUUCUGUGGUUUGAGCUGAUAUAGGCUAUGGUUGGGUUAAUUUACACACUGAGUUUUCCCCAAACUCACCCCUUUUAUUUUCAUCCACGCAGGUAAUCCCCAACCAUAGUGGGCUUGGAGCUGUGAGGGAAUUCGGAGUGGUCACCCGUUCUGAAAGUUUGAUUUUCUUUUGGUGAACUGGACAUCCUUUUAUUUACGUUUGAAGUUUUGGGUUUUUAAAUGUAAUAUGUAUUACUAAGAUAGGUAUUACUUAUUUUAACUGUUGAAAUUGGAUAGCUUUAGGGCACGUUUUCAAAAACAACAAUUGAUUUCAAAAUAACACGACAACAAGCAAAGCUUCCGCAAUGAAAGUAUUUUCCAAAAUUAAUCACUUUUCCUAAAAAUGACUUAAUCAAGUCGGUUUCCUAGAAAUAUCCAUGACGUUAAGGUGUGGCAAUGGCGGUAUGCAUGUCUAGGAUUGGAUCCGAAGGGAGCUUGGUUGUGACAGCCCUAAUUUGACCCCAGUCGAAAAGUGGUUUCGAGACCACAAAACCGAGUCAUAAAAAUAAUUAAAUGUUAUAUUCUAUGCUUAUUAUAUGUGAAAGUGUAUGUGUGAAAGUAUCGUGUCUUAACUUUGUCAUUUGAAUGUGGAAAUAGCUAAAAAGGACUUGUGUGUUAAAACUUAAAAAUAUGAUAGGAAGAAUUUAGAGGGCCGAAUAAUGCAUGGUAUAUAACAAGGAGGACUUGCAUGUCAAAUGGACCACUAUUAGAUUAGUGGGUGACAAUGAUGAAAGUUGACAGAAAAAUAUGUAUUUUGUAUUGUAAAAUAAUAACCUAAUGAAUAUUAUAUGAUUCCAUGUUAGUAAUAUAAUAUUUAAUGAUAUUAUAAGAGGAAUUAUAUAAUUUAAUAAAAGAAAAUAGGUGAGAAAAAUAAAGUUUUCAUCCAUUCUUCUUUCAUUUUACCGAAAUUUAAAGAACAAGCAAAACAAAAGGGUUCUUGGAUAUUCGGCCUUGAUGUUCCUAAUUGGAGGUAUGUUUGAUUUUAUUUCUUGAUAAUUUAUGUGAAAUUGAGUUAAUUGCUAAGCUCCUUUCAUAGCCCAUGACUUAAUUUUUGUUAUUGAUUUGAAAUGAUGCAUUUGGCUAUGGGUUGUAUGGAUGUCUUUGAAGGUGUUAUAUGUUUUGGAAAUGGUUUGUUAAUGUUGUCACUUAUAGUGAUAAUUCGAUCAUGAUUUAGC
rnacentral:lncRNA from 1 species